rnacentral:rRNA from 1 species
GAUGAACGCUGGCGGCGUGCCUAAUACAUGCAAGUCGAGCGAACGGACGAGAAGCUUGCUUCUCUGAUGUUAGCGGCGGACGGGUGAGUAACACGUGGAUAACCUACCUAUAAGACUGGGAUAACUUCGGGAAACCGUAGCUAAUACCGGAUAAUAUUUUGAACCGCAUGGUUCAAUGGUGAAAUACGGUCUUGCUGUCACUUAUAGAUGGAUCCGCGCUGCAUUAGCUAGUUGGUAAGGUAACGGCUUACCAAGGCAACGAUGCAUAGCCGACCUGAGAGGGUGAUAGGCCACACUGGAGGUGAGACACGGUCCAGACUCCUACGGGAGGCAGCAGUAGGGAAUCUGACGCAAUGGGCGAAAGCAUGACGGAGCAAGGCCGCGUGAGUGAUGAAGGUGUUCGGAUCGUAAAACUCUGUUAUUAGGGAAGAACAUAUGUGUAAGUAACUGUGCACAUCUUGACGGUACCUAAUCAGAAAGCCACGGCUAACUACGUG